GAAAAGAUGAAUAUUUGUGAUGGCUAGCUACUCUAUUUAUAGUUUACAUUCGACUUAAAAUCUAAGCAAUCACUAGAAUGUUCCACAAGUAAACUAAAACAGAGUAGCUUAAAAUCUAAACAAAAGCAGCAAAAGUAGCUCUGGAGUGUGGCACGGCCGUGCCAAGCCUAGCACGGGCCGUGCCAAGCUUCUGACUUUGGGGGAGAUAUAUUUUGUCUCCAAAUCUUCGUAUUUUCGUACCGAAUCAGCUCCAAAUCCCUUUCUUUUGCUCCAAGACUCAAUCCAUCCAAUAUUCGUUCCUGAAA
rnacentral:lncRNA from 1 species